GUGAUCUUAAUUGGAAGUUGUUGAUAGAAAAAAGAAAAAAAAAAGAGAGGUUGAGAGGUUCAAUCACUACUGAAGAAGGAAGGGGCAAUUGCUUUUGAUAGCAACACAAACAAGAAAGCAGGUCGCUGGAGCAUUAUGAAUACCACUCGCGCUUUGUAUAAUGAGCAAGAAUGUUUGGCUGUUCUAGGAGAGGCGAAGUACCACUGGAACAGGUUCUAGUAUGGGAGAAAAUACUUAUGGAGUUGCAGUAGAGGUAUGGGGGCGAAUACUUCUGAAGUACAGUUAGAUUCAAGUAUCAUGGUUCAGUUAGAUUAGUUUCAAGAACAUAGGCUUGUGCAUAAUUGUGGUGGUUAAUUGUUUAGUUGUUUUGAGAAUCUAAAUAUUGUGUUUCAGAUUUUGUUGAUGUAUUGGUGAAUUUUUUGUGAUUAAUAAUACAAUAGAAUAUUUAUUGUUUGGA